rnacentral:rRNA from 1 species
UCGAGGGGUAUAUGUCUUCGGAUAUAGAGACCGGCGCACGGGUGCGUAACGCGUAUGCAAUCUGCCUUUCACAGAGGGAUAGCCCAGAGAAAUUUGGAUUAAUACCUCAUAGCAUAAUCAAACCGCAUGGUUUAAUUAUUAAAGUCACAACGGUGAAAGAUGAGCAUGCGUCCCAUUAGCUAGUUGGUAAGGUAACGGCUUACCAAGGCUACGAUGGGUAGGGGUCCUGAGAGGGAGAUCCCCCACACUGGUACUGAGACACGGACCAGACUCCUACGGGAGGCAGCAGUGAGGAAUAUUGGUCAAUGGGCGCAAGCCUGAACCAGCCAUGCCGCGUGCAGGAUGACGGUCCUAUGGAUUGUAAACUGCUUUUGUACGGGAAGAAACACUGAUUCGUGAAUCAGCUUGACGGUACCGUAAGAAUAAGGAUCGGCUAACUCCGUGCCAGCAGCCGCGGUAAUACGGAGGAUCCAAGCGUUAUCCGGAAUCAUUGGGUUUAAAGGGUCCGUAGGCGGUCCUGUAAGUCAGUGGUGAAAGCCCAUCGCUCAACGAUGGAACGGCCAUUGAUACUGCAGGACUUGAAUUAUCAGGAAGCAACUAGAAUAUGUAGUGUAGCGGUGAAAUGCUUAGAGAUUACAUGGAAUACCAAUUGCGAAGGCAGGUUGCUACUGAUGGAUUGACGCUGAUGGACGAAAGCGUGGGUAGCGAACAGGAUUAGAUACCCUGGUAGUCCACGCCGUAAACGAUGGAUACUAGCUGUUGGGGGCAACUUCAGUGGCUAACCGAAAGUGAUAAGUA